rnacentral:rRNA from 1 species
CAACUCUUAGCGGUGGGUCACUCGGCUCGUGCGUCGAUGAAGAACGCAGCUAGCUGCGAGAACUAAUGUGAAUUGCAGGACACAUUGAUCAUCGACACUUCGAACGCACCUUGCGGCCCCGGGCUCCUCCCGGGGCUACGCCUGUCUGAGGGUCGCUUUGCCAUCAAUCGGGAACGCCCGCGUUUCCGCGGCUGGGGCAGUCGCAGGCAUCCGUUGCCUUCGUCCCCCUAAGUGCAGACUCUUGCCUGGGAUGCCCGGUGCGGUGCGUUGGCCUCGCCAUCCUCCCCGUCGGCUCUCUCCCCCUCUCUCCCCCCCCCCUCUCCGGCCCUCUGGGCUCCGGGGAGGGGGGCGCCCCGUCGGGCCCGCAUGAGUCGGGCGCGGCUGCCGGUGGACCACUCGUCUCCGCGCUGACCGCGUUACGCGUGCGCGACAUCCGGCGGGAGCGCUCCAGUCGGGGGAUUGAGGGGUGCCGCGGGGGUUGGGGGCUCUCUGCCGCGGCGGGGUACCCGGCAUCUCUACCAGAGACCCGUGAGCCUCCUGCUACGC